CCGUCAGCCAGGUCGCUGUCCAGCAGCGACUUGGUGUUGGCAGUCAGGAACUCCAUGGCGAAGUGCACGCCCGAGGCCUCGCGGCCGGGCACGGGCAGGUCACGCGGCUUGGUGGCGCCGGCCGCCAGCACCACGGCGUCGUGCUUGCCCACCAGGUCCUGCGCCGUGACGUUGCCGCCCACGUGGGCGUUCAUCACGAACUUGACGCCCUCCGCCGCCAUCAGGUCCACACGGCGCUGCACCACGUCCAGCUUGCCGGCCUUCAUGUUGGGCACGCCGUACAUCAUCAGGCCGCCGGCGCGGUCCGCGCGCUCGUACACGGUCACCUCGUGGCCCAUCUUGUUCAGCUGGUCGGCCGCUGCCAGGCCGGCGGGGCCGCUGCCCACCACGGCCACCUGCUUGCCGGUGCGCAGCUUGGGCGGGCGCGGCACCAUCCAGCCCUCCUCGAAGGCCUUGUCGAUGAUGGUGGCCUCGAUGGACUUGAUGGACACGGGCGGCUCAAUGAUGCCCAGGGUGCAGCUGCCCUCGCAGGGCGCGGGACACACGCGGCCGGUGAACUCGGGGAAGUUGUUGGUCUCCAGCAGGCGGUCCAGCGCCUCGCGCCAGCGGCCCUUGUGCACCAGGUCGUUGAACUCGGGGAUCUUGUUGCCCAGCGGGCAGCCGGUGGACUGGGUGUGGCAGAAGGGCGUGCCGCACUCCAUGCAGCGCGCGGCCUGGG
rnacentral:lncRNA from 1 species